CUGUGACCUUCACAUCCUUGCCAUACGCCAAUGACACUGAGAUGAGAAAAGACUGGCAGGCAUCAGCAAGGAACUGAACCAAUCCUGGCUGGAGGCUUUAGGUAUACAAAUGGAGAACCUACGACAACAUCUGGAACAGAAUGAGACUGGCAAAAUAUUGGGACCUUCUCAACAAAAGAUUCCAUUGUGGGGUCACAGGACAUAAAGCAGGCUGCAAUUGAAAGUGGAUUAUGAUGGAUUGGAAAAGUUAAUCCAUCUCUGAAAGGUACUGGAGACCAGCUCACCAACCAGGGGCUGGUACAGUGUUUCAAAUCCUGCACUGAGAGAUUCAGUCUUGACUUGGUGUGCCUUGAACUAAACAUACCUUUGGUACUAGUCUUAGUAACAGCAUUUAUCAAUCAAGUCUUUGUGUAGUUGAGUCAGUGAUUUGACAUGUGAAAUGAAUAAUUACGAACUUGCUGACUUGGAGCCCAUUUCA